rnacentral:rRNA from 1 species
GGGUAUUUGGACACUGGGCGCAAGCCUGAUCCAGCCAUGCCGCGUGCAGGAUGACGGUCCUAUGGAUUGUAAACUGCUUUUAUACGAGAAGAAACACUGCUUCGUGAAGCAGCUUGACGGUAUCGUAAGAAUAAGGAUCGGCCUAACUCCGUGCCAGCAGC